GAUGAACGCUGGCGGCGUGCCUAAUACAUGCAAGUCGAGCGAACAGACGAGGCGCUUGCUCCUCUGACGUUAGCGGCGGACGGGUGAGUAACACGUGGAUAACCUACCUAUCAGACUGGGAUAACUUCGGGACACCGGAGCUAAUACCGGAUAAUAUAUUGAACCGCAUGGUUCAAUAGUGAAAGACGGUUUUGCUGUCACUUAUAGAUGGAUCCGCGCCGCAUUAGCUAGUUGGUAAGGUAACGGCUUACCAAGGCAACGAUGCGUAGCCGACCUACGAGGGGGGUAGGCCACACGGGAAGUGAGACACGGUCCAGACUCCUACGGGAGGCAGCAGUAGGGAAUCUGACGCAAUGGGCGAAAGCCUGACGGAGCAACGCCGCGUGAGUGAUAAAGGUCUUCGGAUCGUAAAACUCUGUUAUUAGGGAAGAACAAAUGUGUAAGUAACUAUGCACGUCUUGACGGUACCGAAUCAGAAAGCCACGGCUAACUACGUG
rnacentral:rRNA from 1 species